rnacentral:rRNA from 1 species
UACGUAGGGUGCAAGCGUUGUCCGGAAUUAUUGGGCGUAAAGAGCUCGUAGGCGGUUUGUCGCGUCUGCUGUGAAACGACGAGGCUCAACCUCGCGCCUGCAGUGGGUACGGGCAGACUGGAGUGCGGUAGGGGAGAUUGGAAUUCCUGGUGUAGCGGUGGAAUGCGCAGAUAUCAGGAGGAACACCGAUGGCGAAGGCAGAUCUCUGGGCCGUAACUGACGCUGAGGAGCGAAAGCAUGGGGAGCGAACAGG